UCCAGACUCCUACGGGAGGCAGCAGUGGGGAAUAUUGCACAAUGGGGGAAACCCUGAUGCAGCAACGCCGCGUGAGUGAAGAAGUAUUUCGGUAUGUAAAGCUCUAUCAGCAGGGAAGAAAAUGACGGUACCUGAGUAAGAAGCCCCGGCUAACUACGUGCCAGCAGCCGCGGUAAUACGUAGGGGGCAAGCGUUAUCCGGAUUUACUGGGUGUAAAGGGAGCGUAGACGGCGAUACAAGUCUGAAGUGAAAGCCCGGGGCUCAACCCCGGGACUGCUUUGGAAACUGUGUUGCUGGAGUGCUGGAGAGGCAAGCGGAAUUCCUAGUGUAGCGGUGAAAUGCGUAGAUAUUAGGAAGAACACCAGUGGCGAAGGCGGAUGACUGGACGACAACUGACGGUGAGGCGCGAAAGCGUGGGGAGCAAACAGGAUUAGAUACCCCCGUACG
rnacentral:rRNA from 1 species